rnacentral:rRNA from 1 species
GUAGUCAUAUGCUUGUCUCAAAGAUUAAGCCAUGCAUGUCUAAGUAUAAGCAAUUAUACGGCGAAACUGCGAAUGGCUCAUUAUAUAAGUUAUCGUUUAUUUGAUAGUACCUUACUACCUGGAUAACCGUGGUAAUUCUAGAGCUAAUACAUGCUUAAAAUCCCGACUUCGGAAGGGAUGUAUUUAUUAGAUUAAAAACCAAUGCCCUUCGGGGCUCUCUGGUGAUUCAUGAUAACUUCUCGAAUCGCAUGGCCUUGCGCCGGCGAUGGUUCAUUCAAAUUUCUUCCCUAUCAACUUUCGAUGUUUGGGUAUUGGCCAAACAUGGUUGCAACGGGUAACGGAGGGUUAGGGCUCGACCCCGGAGAAGGAGCCUGAGAAACGGCUACUACAUCCAAGGAAGGCAGCAGGCGCGCAAAUUACCCAAUCCCGACUCGGGGAGGUAGUGACAAUAAAUACUGAUACAGGGUUCUUUUGGAUCUUGUAAUUGGAAUGAGUACAAUUUAAAUCCCUUAACGAGGAACAAUUGGAGGGCAAGUCUGGUGCCAGCAGCCGCGGUAAUUCCAGCUCCAAUAGCGUAUAUUAAAGUUGUUGUGGUUAAAAAGCUCGUAGUUGAACCUUGGGCCUGGCUGGCCGGUCCGCCUCACCGCGUGUACUGGUCCGGCCGGGCCUUUCCCUCUGUGGAACCCUAUGCCCUUCACUGGGUGUAGCGGGGAAACAGGACUUUUACUUUGAAAAAAUUAGAGUGCUCCAGGCAGGCCUUUGCUCGAAUACAUUAGCAUGGAAUAAUAAAAUAGGACGUGUGGUUCUAUUUUGUUGGUUUCUAGGACCGCCGUAAUGAUUAAUAGGGACAGUCGGGGGCAUCAGUAUUCAAUUGUCAGAGGUGAAAUUCUUGGAUUUAUUGAAGACUAACUACUGCGAAAGCAUUUGCCAAGGAUGUUUUCAUUAAUCAGGAACGAAAGUUAGGGGAUCGAAGACGAUCAGAUACCGUCGUAGUCUUAACCAUAAACUAUGCCGACUAGGGAUCGGACGAUGUUAAAAAUUGACUCGUUCGGCACCUUACGAGAAAUCAAAGUGCUUGGGCUCCAGGGGGAGUAUGGUCGCAAGGCUGAAACUUAAAGAAAUUGACGGAAGGGCACCACCAGGGGUGGAGCCUGCGGCUUAAUUUGACUCGACACGGGGAAACUCACCAGGUCCAGACACAAUGAGGAUUGACAGAUUGAGAGCUCUUUCUUGAUUUUGUGGGUGGUGGUGCAUGGCCGUUCUUAGUUGGUGGAGUGAUUUGUCUGCUUAAUUGCGAUAACGAACGAGACCUUAACCUGCUAACUAGCCCGUAUUGCUUUGGCAGUACGCUGGCUUCUUAGAGGGACUAUCGGCUCAAGCCGAUGGAAGUUUGAGACAAUAACAGGUCUGUGAUGC